GAUAAGUUGUGUGGUAAAAGCGUUUUCUUUUUUCAGAGGGCUUCCAAGGACUCUGCGCAUGGUUGAGCCAGUUUUCUUUGCUGCUGUGACCGAGGCGGAGCUGGUCUGAGGGAAGAGAUAUGCUUCACGAUCAGCCAUCAACUUGUGAGCAUACCUUGGUGUCAAACAGAAAUUUCUUAACGUGGCUGCUAUGCCGGUAUUCCUCCAGGUCCAAAUCAAUGGCUUUGUACAUUUUUCUCUCUUCUUCCGUAAGAGGAGCCACUUGGUCAUAGAUUCCAGGGAUCAGAAUAUGACCAGAUGAGUCCACCAGGCUGCCUGCAAGGGACACAGGAAACAAAGCCAGGGAGGGCUUACGAGUGCACUGAGGUUCCGGCCCGGGCGCGGAGGCCCGGGUGACUCCUGUGGCCGCAGCAGGCCUUGUGACGGGCCCUGGUCCCCCUGGGCAGAGUCGCUAGCAGCACUCACGUCUCCAAAGGACAGAGCUGGUCUCCAGGCAGACUCAUCCUGAGCCAGACCCAUUUUAAUGUCUACCUCAUCAGUGCAGGGAUGGAAAUACAGGGGUCUGCGUACAUGUGACUGGGUAGGACUUAGCUGCAUGACACUGGUCCUCAAUUGUACCUUCUGUAUCAAAAACAAGGUUCGUUUUUUAAAUGUUCAUCUAUGCUGAGUUAAAAAGUAAUAUAUGUUCAUCAUUUAAAAACUUUGUAUGGGUAUGUCUAUACAGCAUUCCUGAGGAACCAAAAAUCAUCAUUCUCAGCUUCCCCCCCAUAAGAACCAUAAUAUAAUAAGUACUCAUCUUCAAUCAAAAGUAUAAAAUCCUUGAGAUCAAGUCUACGAGGCAUACAUGAUGACUACAAAUGCGUUCAUAGUGAAUAGGCAGAUAUACCAGUCUGUUAUUUCUGAAAGAGUUUGGGGAUUCAUAGGAGGGGGGGGGGCGGGGAAUCAUCAAUGAAUAUCUACAGAGGAGGUAGAUUUAGUAAAACACUGCUCACUACCUUGAAAAAAUACUUCUCAAAGCAGCAAGUAGACUAGUGGAGAUGGUGAUAAAUGUAUGCGGGACAUCGAAAUUUCUCUUCGAUCCACGCGGGGACUCUUAUUCAAGUGAAGACACUUCGUAAGACAUAUGCCCCACAGGCGUAAUGAGAUUGUAACUUGACAAUGUCAAAAAGCUACUGUGACGCACUGUACCUUGAGGUCUUCCUGUUAAAGCUGACACUUGACAAAGCUCGGGGCUGGAGGCUCUGUGAGCACCGGUGUGUCCCCCCAGUUACGGGACACCGGCCGUGCUCAAAGAACCAGAGGAGUGCUGGGGGACGCUGAGGAUACGUUAAGACCCUGCUUUCGUCAGCAAUGGUGCCAUCUGUGGCCACACAGGCUGAAUAGCAAGUGUGACCCGGCACAAGCAGACCAGCGGGUGGUCUGGCUGUCUGCGGGCACAACAGGAUCCAAGGCAAACAGGCUACCAAAACCUACAGGACCAGUGGUAGGGUGGUACGUAACAGGUGUCCCAGCACUCUGAGGCCAUCCUCGAAAGCAAGACUCCAAGUUUCGAGGGCAUCAAGGCAGCAAAAUGAGAAGGGAGGUCUUCGCUGUUCUGGUUUUCGACCACCUCCUCCUUAGCCCCUCCCCGGGUCCUCUGUGUACCUCACCCAAACUUCCACAGCCACCCUGGGGAUGGUAUUGCAGACCGCUAUCCACCUCCCUGCGCUACUGAGUUAUGGGAUUCGCCGCAUUUAGCCCAGCACAGCCUGUGUGAAAUAAGUGAUACAAACCGAUUGAUAAAACUGAACUUAAAAACUAAGCUGGGUGCCAAGGGAUUGGGACUGGCCGUCACUGGUUUGCAGGCCACCCUCUGCACCCUCGCCAAAAUCAAAACCGAACCUAAAAGCACCACCAGGAAUCACCAGGUCCUCCCUUCGGGGCACGUCCCUAAAGGUCUGCUGACACUCUUGUACGCAAGGACAGAGCUGCAAAAGUGCACGAAAGACAGACCCCGUCCGUAAUGCGGCUGGAAAGACACAGGGUAAAGAAACACCUGAGGGUCCAUGAGCAAAGAGCUGUGAAGGGGAGGAGACACAGGAGCAAGGAGCAGGCAGGGCACCAGCCAGGUUGUGUGGGACGCGACCGGCACGGUCUCGAUGGUGAGAAGAGAUGGGUGUUCGAAACGUCAAGGUCAAAACAAUGAAGACCUGAGACACGCAAGCAGCAGGAUGCUCAGUGUCCAUACGGGACACUGAGCCGGGACAUUGUUCCUGUCAUUUAGGCAGCCGUGCCAGGCAUCACCGUGGGGAUGGGAGUCAGGGGUCCUUGGCAAAUCAGGCUGUGACGUGAGCAGGGGCCUUGCCUCACGCUCACUGCACUUGGCCGGGGCCCGGGUGCGGUUUCGAGUCUUGGAGCCUGUUUUCUCAGGAUGCAGGACAGCCGUCCCAGCUGCUGGCGGGACAGAGCACAGCCAACACCCCCCCGAGUCCCCCGCCCCCUGCCCCGCGCACCCACCAGCAGGGAGAUUCACGGGAGGCUCAGCACACGGUGGCCUCCAGGCGCCGCAGGACCGGCCGGAGGGAAGACACCGCGCGCGCGAUCCAUGCUUCUGCCCCACACGGCGUGUUCCCGCUGCGUCUUUGCCCAGUCCUCCAACACCGAACGCGUCGGCAAGAAAAAGGACGUUUGCAAAGAGUUCAUCUCCCCACCCCCUCCUCAUUUCCCACUUGAAAUCACCAUCCUCCGAAUGGCAUGUGCUUUCUGCAGCCACGAGGGCCUCGGCCGGGAGCCCAGUCUGGAAGCGCAGGGGAGGCGGAGGGUGGCGCCUUUGAAAAUGGCAAACGGGAAGCAAAUCAAGUAAUCCUUGAUCCUCAGGAGGCCCCUUGGAAUCUAACGUUUGGUAAAAGCGCCCUGGACCCGGUGACCUCCCUGCUUUGUGGCUUUUAGGUGAGGGCAGGGAGUAGGAAUGCCCACAGAGGAAUGCCCAGGAGCAGAGGGCUCUGUGCAGACAGUAUGUCCACCCCCACCUCCUCCGACCUCCCAUGUACACCCCACUCUAAGCCUCUUUGAAAACAGGAACUUGCGGUGUUCCCGGGGCCAGGGGGAGCUCCCUGUAUCCCCCUGGUGGAGACUCCAUGCCUUUCAUACCGUUGGCACUCAACACAUGUUUGUGACUCAUUAGCACUCAUGGUUACCAGGAUCACACAGACAAGGAGCGAGGACAGAGAGAUUAGGAACUUGCACAAGGUCACACAGCAGCACCUGACUAACGUGUAGGGCACCUGCCAGUCUGCAGGGGGGAGAACCCAACAGAACCCGCUCUCCCUGACAUCCUAACGUGCAGCGGCCCUCAGGGAGAGCCCGGGAGCCAAGAUGCUGUCAGGGUCAGCAAGCAAAAUCCCUGCUUGUCAUCUGAUCAGUGCUGCAGUUCAACCGUAUGUCCUUCAGGUCUUUCUACAAAGCAUAUGAAAGCCACAGAGAAGACCCAAUCCAGAGUCACUUCAUUAUGGAUUAUUUGAUUUGUCUCAAAAAUAAAAGAAAGUGAAACCA